rnacentral:rRNA from 1 species
UACGUAGGGGGCUAGCGUUGUCCGGAAUCAUUGGGCGUAAAGCGCGUGUAGGCGGUCCGGUAAGUCCGCUGUGAAAGUCGGGGGCCCAACCCUCGAAUGCCGGUGGAUACUGUCGGGCUAGAGUGCGGAAGAGGCGAGUGGAAUUCCUGGUGUAGCGGUGAAAUGCGCAGAUAUCAGGAGGAACACCAAUUGCGAAGGCAGCUCGCUGGGACGUUACUGACGCUGAGACGCGAAAGCGUGGGGAGCAAACAGG